AGCACGGAGAAAGAAGCUAGUUUUAGGCCAUAGCCACUGCUGCUCUAGCGCCGACACUGUGCAAGA
rfam:Trypanosoma congolense IL3000, WGS project CAEQ01000000 data, contig: 555